rnacentral:rRNA from 1 species
CCUACGGGAGGCAGCAGUGAGGAAUAUUGGUCAAUGGACGAGAGUCUGAACCAGCCAAGUAGCGUGAAGGAUGACUGCCCUACGGGUUGUAAACCUCUUUUAUAUGGGAACAAAAUGCUUCACGUGUGGGACCUUGUAUGUACCCUAUGAAUAAGGAUCGGCUAACUCCGUGCCAGCAGCCGCGGUAAUACGGAGGAUACGAGCGUUAUCCGGAUUUAUUGGGUUUAAAGGGGGCGGAGGCGGAUUGUUAAGUCAGGUGUGAAAAUUUGCGGCUCAACCGUAUAAUUGCAGUUGAAACUGGAAGUCUUGAGUGCAGUAGAGGUGUGCGGAAUGCGUGGUGUAGCGGUGAAAUGCUUAGAUAUCACGCAGAACUCCGAUUGCGAAGGCAGCACACUGGACUGCAACUGACGCUGAGGCACGAAAGUGUGGGUAUCGAACAGGAUUAGAUACCCCAGUAGUC